rnacentral:tRNA from 1 species
GGAGAGGUGACCGAGUGGUCGAAGGUGCACGAUUGGAAAUCGUGUGUACCGAAAGGUACCGGGGGUUCGAAUCCCUUCCUCUCCGCCA